rnacentral:ncRNA from 1 species
GCGGUGGCCCGGUCGGCCACCCCGGACGAGCGGCGGCGUACCCGGUCAGGCCAAGACGCCCCGAC